AGCUAGGGAACAAAACCAGAACAACCUGCUGAGCUUCCGUGGCUGCACCAGCUGAGGUACCACCCUGCUGUGCUCCUUUCCUGACCUUUACAACUGAAGAGACACCUCUCUCUUCCAGGAGGAGGUUUUCAGAAAAGGUGUUCUGAUGCCCAAACAUUAAGUAUAACAGAACACCCAUGUCUUUUCACUCUGUUUCAAGAGGUGAUCUCACCCUGCCCAGAGACCUCUGAAGCACUUCUAUCACUGCCAGCUCUUCAGCACCAACAUUAACGAUUUACUGUUGCCCACGUGUCUAAAUACAGUCUUCAGCAUCAACAGACAGAUCAAUCCCUUCUAUCUACUGUCAUCAUUUUCACGUCCCCCUUGUAGUCUAGGGAUGUGGGCUUCGGGAAACCAGGCAUCUGACGGAGACCACACAAAAUGUUGGAGAACAACACAAGGCACUGAGUCCCUUCCCAGAACCUUAAAACUAAAAAAGGUUUUUAUCUUCCUUCCUUUAAGCCAAAUAAAUACCUCAGCUUCUGCAGUUCUGGUCAAACUUCAGGAAAUGACCUGUGUUAGUGUAAAUGUUAAUGUUUCAUUAUCUUGGAGUAAAAUAAAGAGAAAGUGGAAAACCAGCUCUUCAUCUGCUUAAUGACAAAGAAGGAAUGAAAGGCCAGAGGUUUCCAAGUGGUUUCAUGGUUCAAUCCACAGCCAGCACUGGCACCAGGCUCUUCCCUCCAAACGAUGGCCAUACUACCUGGUGUUUAAAACAUAAUUCCUCUGCAUUUCUCCAAUUCCAGCAAUUUUCAUUACGAGAUCAUUUCAGUUGGGGUGUGUGCUUUAAAGCAAGUUACACUGGUACAAUUUCCCAUUUACUUCUCGGAGUUCUGCAGCAGAACAUUAUGUAUCUCUAGGAACACUUAUAUCCACCUUAGUUGGUCUUGUCACCAUUUGGACUGCCUGGUUACUUUACAUUGCCUUUUACUACUUGGCAUCUCUUUUUAUCAGGCUCUGUGUCCCUUUCUGUUCGCAUCUAGAGCCCUGCAUUUAAAGCAUUUUCUAACAGAGCUUCUUUGUAUCAAGCUUCAGCUAGGGGAAGGACAAACGCUCUGCCUAGAGGCUGGCCCCAAAAUCAAAUGGUGACUACAGUUAGCACAGCUGCAGAAACUUGCAUUCCCUUGGCAUGUGGUCUGCGAGAGCACUGCCGUGUUCACCAGAGCAGGAAGAUCAAUGGGAUGCAUAGAGUGGAAAACCUUGCCUGAAACCUCUCACCCUGCCCCAGGGGCUGCUAAGCUCUGCAGCUGCUUCUUCUUCCUCAGAAGUGCAUCUCUAAGAGCCAGCUGGAAUAUGAAACAAGAGAGGAAAAUUCAGGUAUAAAUAAAUCCCCCAGGCCAGGAUCUAUUUGAGGCUGUGUGGCUGUUUGUCACCUGUCACCAGCCAUGAACGACCAAAUCCUACAUCUGCUGGCAAUCAGAAGUUACAUCACCAGCCUGUGGGUCAAAGAAAGCACUCGUCAGCAUUUCAUAUCCUACCUGCUCUCCUCUUCAUCAUCUAUUUCAAUAUUUUUCCUCUUUGCAGCUUUGCCCGGUGCAGAAUUGAUUUCUCUGGAGAGCUGGGCAAGACGUAUUCUGUGGAAAUCUUCCUGAGUCAGCAGCCUACUUGUACUGACUGCUGCAGCUUUAGCUUUUCGUUCCUCUACGGGCAUGCUUUUGAUCUUCUCUGCCUUUUGAAAAAAAGAACAAAAGUAUCAUCACCCUGACUUUCACAAGCAAAUUCUAUGCUAUAUAAUCAAUGAGCCUUGCCUCCCAAAUAUCUACAUAAGAAUAACAUUGCUUGAAAAUGAUCCAAACAGUUGUCAGGACUCUUAGAAGUUUCAUAUCCUAUGUGUGGUUUUGGAAGAAAGGAGUACCUCCAUUUCUUAAUAUUUCAAAGCAGAUAAAAGCACUCACCAUGCAAACAUUAUAGCUUUGCAAUGGAAUAGAAUUACCCAGCUUUCUCCCUUCAUCCUGACAAUACACAUUUCAGCACAGGUGCACAAGUAUACUUCACUGACGCUGGUCAAAUUACUCUGUGUAGUUCGUUAAAAGCAGUCACGUGAAAGUACAGAGCAAGAGAAUUUGGACUGCUAUUAGCAAGUCCCAUUUCUAUUUAGGGUAGAAGGCACUUGGAACUCACCACUUCUUGCUGCUCCUCAUCCGAAGAGUGGUGCACAUCAAUCCACUCUCCAUCUUCACCGUCAUCCUCCUCACUCAUACUAGCACUUUCCCAUCCAUCUGCUCAAGGGAAGACAUGCACAGAGCUGCUAGUAUAAACCUGGUUCAACUGUUUGAGUUUCAGACAAUUUAAGGGUGGAUCCCAAGCUCUCACCGCCUUUCUCUAUCUGCUAACUAUAUGCCCAGGGACAUGCUCACCAAACAGAUGAACUGCAGGAUCUUGACAUCCCACAUUACAAAAAAGAUUGAUGAUACUUCACACGUCUGGUCAUUUUAAAGUAAAUCCACGGCUGAACAGACCAGUAGCUCCAAUGCCCUCCCACUGACAAGCUCAGCAACCAAAUUACAUCUGGCUUGCAGUGUCAAAGCCUCACAUGGCACAACUCUGGCAGUGACUGAUUUGAAGCCGAAAUGUCUUUCUGCAGCUCUGAUCUCUUAGUGUCCAUAGCUGUACGUGCACUAUUUUUUUCAAUAGUGAUAACCACAUGGCAGUGUAAGAUCUUUGAACACACUUCUAGAACAAACCUUGUAAAGCACCUGUUCUAUCUUGUAAUUAUUGUGAGCUGCAGUCUCCCUGAUGCAUUUUGUUGUUAUGAACGUACAAUAAACGUGCAACAAUGGUGAUCUCAUUCACUCAGAACAAAGCUAACCGUAGAAGAUACCUAAGGAGUUUGCAAGAAGUUCGCAUUGCAAUACGCUGUACCGUAACCUAUGCUUUCUAAAGCAUAACGCUCAAAUUAUGUUAAAGGCUCUCAAAACAAGGAACUGCAUUUUGGAGAGACUCUGAAGAAAUGCACUAGUUUGCAAAUGUUAAUUGUAUCGUGCUGUUCCCUCUUCCAUCUCUCAGUGUACAUGGUAUGAAGAAACACAGUGACCAUCAGAUCUUUCUGGAUAAACUGUAUUUAACUCAAGGACAAGUAUCAGUGCUUCACAAUAGACAAACACAUAUGUGCUGCGUGGCUUGCAUAUGAGAGCAGCAAAUGAAAUGCCAAAAUGAACACCAAAGUUUUAAGCCCAAAUAAAACCUUAGCAGCGAUGAUGCACAAAAUUGAAGUAAUAAAGAAAGGCUUACCUUCUU